rnacentral:rRNA from 1 species
UACGUAGGUCCCGAGCGUUGUCCGGAUUUAUUGGGCGUAAAGCGAGCACAGGUGGUUUAUUAAGUCUGGUGUAAAAGGCAGUGGCUCAACCAUUGUAUGCAUUGGAAACUGGUAGACUUGAGUGCAGGAGAGGAGAGUGGAAUUCCAUGUGUAGCGGUGAAAUGCGUAGGUAUAUGGAGGAACACCGGUGGCGAAAGCGGCUCUCUGGCCUGUAACUGACACUGAGGCUCGAAAGCGUGGGGAGCAAACAGG